UGUUAAAAUUUCAUCCAUUUCUACUAUUAAGAACAAGCUUAGUUGAUAGAAUAAUCAGACAGUUACACUAGGCGUGCUAUAUGUACCUCAAGUUGAUAUAUAGGUAUCAGUUUUUAACUGUAGGAAUAAGUGAAUUUUUAAACC
rfam:Gossypium hirsutum cultivar TM-1 unplaced genomic scaffold scaffold3763.1, whole genome shotgun sequence